rnacentral:sRNA from 1 species
GUUAGUGUUAGGCUGAUCUGGGUUAAUGUUGGGUCGGGGUUGGUUGGUUGACCGAGUUAGUGUUAGGUCGGGUUAGGUAGUCGAGUUAGUUUGGUCGAUUGGGUUGUAUGGUUGAGUUGGAGUGUUUGGUCGAGUUGUUUGUUUCAGUUGUUUUGAGACCUCAAUUAAGAGGUUUUGUAACUCGGUUUGGUUGAUAGGGACAAGGUUUUUGACCUUGGCUAAGCUGUUCGUGAUGUUUGUCUGGUUGUGUGGGACUUUGGUCAAGUUGUGUUGUUUUAUUGUCAAGUUGUUAUGUUGGUUUCCGAGCCAUUUUUUUGCAUGGUCGAAUUGUGUAUGUUGGUUUCGAGCUAUGUAUGUUGAUUGUCUAGUUGUGUGUGAGCAUGAUCAAGUUGUUGUUGUUGGUUAAGAUGUUGGAUGUGUGUUAUGUCUUUUGUUUCGCUUGUAAGGCUUUGGGCUUAAGCAUUGUAUGGCUUAUGGAAACUAGGGAAACAGGUCCUGACUGUAAGGCUUUGGGCUUAACCAGAGUAUACUUGUAAAACUUAUGGAAGUAGGCAAAGUGAGUAUCUCCGUAAGGCUUUGGACUUAAGCAUAAUGUUACUCAUAAGGCUUAUGGAAGCAGACAAAAUGACUCUAAGGUUUGGUGAUCAGUCAGAGGGACAAUAUGUUACAGGGAAGAAAAUCUUUCUCUCUCAAAUCUGAGAAUUGCGAAAAUAAGGCACUACAACCUCGUCAUGCCGAGAAGAAAGUUGAGAACAUCGUUGUGUUCUAUUGGUGGCAUAAUUGAUCAAAAUAGAAAAUAAAAGAAGAUGGAGGAGGGAGGAGGAAGAAGAUGAACCAGAUCGCGGUGUUUAUUAAUGGAUUUUUUCGUUGGUAAUUAUCGACGAUUUCAUCGAUGAUUUUUUUCAUCAUCAAUUAGCGAUGAGAAUUUUACCAAUAAAUUUUUUGUCAUUGGUAAAUCCUAGGUAAUUUCAAUUAUUGAAGAAUUUUAAAUAUUAUUGAGGAAUUAUGGUC